UACGUAGGGUGCAAGCGUUAAUCGGAAUUACUGGGCGUAAAGCGUGCGCAGGCGGUUUUGUAAGUCUGUCGUGAAAUCCUGGAGCUCAACUCCAGAACUGCCUUUGAUACUGGCGAUCUCGAGUCCGGGAGAGGUGAGUGGAACUGCGAGUGUAGAGGUGAAAUUCGUAGAUAUUCGCAAGAACACCAGUGGCGAAGGCGGCUCACUGGCCCGGUACUGACGCUGAGGUGCGAAAGCGUGGGGAGCAAACAGG
rnacentral:rRNA from 1 species